GCCGGGGUGACAGAGCGGUAAUGUGCCGGCCUCGAGAUGUAUGAUAUGGGGUCAGAAGAUAGCCGGUGGCGCUUUGCGCCACAAGGGUUCAAAUCCCUUCCCCGGCG
rnacentral:tRNA from 1 species